rnacentral:rRNA from 1 species
AUUGAACGCUGGCGGCAUGCUUUACACAUGCAAGUCGAACGGCAGCACGGGUGCUUGCACCUGGUGGCGAGUGGCGAACGGGUGAGUAAUGCAUCGGACCGUGCCCAUGAGUGGGGGAUAGCCCGGCGAAAGCCGGAUUAAUACCGCAUACGCCCUUAGGGGGAAAGCGGGGGAUCUUCGGACCUCGCGCUAUUGGAGCGGCCGAUGUCGGAUUAGCUAGUAGGUGAGGUAAAGGCUCACCUAGGCGACGAUCCGUAGCUGGUCUGAGAGGAUGAUCAGCCACACUGGGACUGAGACACGGCCCAGACUCCUACGGGAGGCAGCAGUGGGGAAUUUUGGACAAUGGGCGCAAGCCUGAUCCAGCCAUGCCGCGUGAGUGAAGAAGGCCUCGGUUGUAAG